CUCACUUCAGCUGUGUCUCAGAAAAAUGAGAACACUACAGGGAAGAUUAGCAUGGUCCUGCCCAAAGAUGACGUGCACGUUCGUAAGGCACUUUGUAUUGUG
ensembl:snRNA U6 U6 spliceosomal RNA